rnacentral:rRNA from 1 species
UGGGGAAUCUUAGACAAUGGGCGCAAGCCUGAUCUAGCCAUGCCGCGUGAUCGAUGAAGGCCUUAGGGUUGUAAAGAUCUUUCAGUUGGGAAGAUAAUGACGGUACCAACAGAAGAAGCCCCGGCUAACUCCGUGCCAGCAGCCGCGGUAAUACGGAGGGGGCUAGCGUUAUUCGGAAUUACUGGGCGUAAAGCGCACGUAGGCGGAUCGACAAGUUGGAGGUGAAAUCCCGGGGCUCAACCCCGGAACGGCCUUCAAAACUGUCGGUCUUGAGUUCGAGAGAGGUGAGUGGAAUUCCGAGUGUAGAGGUGAAAUUCGUAGAUAUUCGGAGGAACACCAGUGGCGAAGGCGGCUCACUGGCUCGAUACUGACGCUGAGGUGCGAAAGCGUGGGGAGCAAACAGG